rnacentral:rRNA from 1 species
GAUGAACGCUGGCGGCGUGCCUAAUACAUGCAAGUCGAGCGAACAGACGAGGAGCUUGCUCCUUUGACGUUAGCGGCGGACGGGUGAGUAACACGUGGGUAACCUACCUAUAAGACUGGGAUAACUUCGGGAAACCGGAGCUAAUACCGGAUAAUAUUUCGAACCGCAUGGUUCGAUAGUGAAAGAUGGCUUUGCUAUCACUUAUAGAUGGACCUGCGCCGUAUUAGCUAGUUGGUAAGGUAACGGCUUACCAAGGCAACGAUACGUAGCCGACCUGAGAGGGUGAUCGGCCACACUGGAACUGAGACACGGUCCAGACUCCUACGGGAGGCAGCAGUAGGGAAUCUUCCGCAAUGGGCGAAAGCCUGACGGAGCAACGCCGCGUGAGUGAUGAAGGUCUUCGGAUCGUAAAACUCUGUUAUUAGGGAAGAACAAACGUGUAAGUAACUGUGCACGUCUUGACGGUACCUAAUCAGAAAGCCACGGCUAACUACUUG